CUCUGUGUGGCUCAGGCGGUAGAGCAUGGCGCUUGCAACGCCAAGGAUUGUGGGUAUGAUUCCUGCUGGGGACA
rnacentral:tRNA from 1 species